GGAUUGUCGUAGCACCAUUCCGAAUGUGGUUAAAUUGCUCAUGAAGGUAUCAGAGAGCUGCACUCAAUUCGCGUUAUCAAUUUUAUGGGCAGUGUGCAAACUUGCCCCAGAAAAAUGCUCAUCUGUGGCUGUUGAGGCAGGUCUAGCAGCCAAGUUGUUGCUUGUUAUUCAAAGUGGAUGCAACCCUGUGUUGAAGCAACGGUCUGCUGAGCUCUUGAAACUAUGCAGUCUAAA
rnacentral:misc_RNA from 1 species